rnacentral:rRNA from 1 species
AGAGUUUGAUCCUGGCUCAGGACGAACGCUGGCGGCGUGCCUAACACAUGCAAGUCGAGCGGAGUAUCUAGGUUUACUUAGAUAUUUAGCGGCGGACGGGUGAGUAACGCGUGAGUAACCUGCCUUAUACAGAGGGAUAGCCUUGGGAAACCGGGAUUAAUACCUCAUGAAGUGUCUAAACCGCAUGGUAAAGACAUGAAAACUCCGGUGAUUCAAGAUGGACUCGCGUCUGAUUAGUUAGUUGGCGGGGCUUGGGCCCACCAAGACGACGAUCAGUAGCCGGCCUGAGAGGGUGAACGGCCACACUGGAACUGAGACACGGUCCAGACUCCUACGGGAGGCAGCAGUGGGGAAUAUUGCACAAUGGGGGAAACCCUGAUGCAGCGACGCCGCGUGAGCGAAGAAGGUUUUCGGAUCGUAAAGCUCUGUCCUUGGGGAAGAAAAUGACGGUACCCAAGGAGGAAGCCCCGGCUAACUACGUGCCAGCAGCCGCGGUAAUACGUAGGGGGCGAGCGUUGUCCGGAAUUACUGGGCGUAAAGGGUACGUAGGCGGUCAAUUAAGUCAGGUGUAAAAGGCAUAGGCUCAACCAAUGUAAGCACUUGAAACUGAAUGACUUGAGUAUAGGAGAGCG